UCGCCUCAAAAAAGGGCGCAUGGCGGAUGCCUUGGCUCUCGGAGGCGAUGAAGGACGUGAUAAGCUGCGAUAAGUCACGGGGAGGUGCAAAUAACCUUUGAUCCGUGAAUCUCCGAAUGGGACAACCCGAUAUCCUGAAGGGAUAUCACCUCAUCUAGUUGAGGAGCUAACGCAGGGAACUGAAACAUCUUAGUACCUGCAGGAAAAGAAAAUAACAAUGAUUCCCCCAGUAGUGGCGAGCGAACGGGGAAUAGCCCAAACCAUUCAUGUUACGGCAUGGAUGGGGUUGUAGGACCACGGCGUUGCAAGAACUCUUGUGAGAAGAACAGCCUGGAAAGGCUGACCAGAGACGGUGACAGUCCGGUAUUCGAAGCAAGACGAAGCAUAGUGGUAUCCUGAGUAGCGCGGAACACGAGGAAUUCUGCGUGAAUCUGCCGGGACCAUCCGGUAAGGCUAAAUACUCCCGAGAGACCGAUAGUGGACCAGUACCGUGAGGGAAAGGUGAAAAGCACUUCGAACAGAAGAGUGAAAGAGUACCUGAAACCGUGCGCCUACAAGCGGUCGGAGCACGAAAGUGUGACGGCGUGCCUUUUGCAUAAUGAACCUACGAGUUACCGUAUCUGGCAAGGUUAAGGGUCACGAGACCUGCAGCCGAAGCGAAAGCGAGUCUGAAGAGGGCGUCGAGUCAGUUGCGGUAGACGCGAAACCAAGUGAUCUACCCUUGGCCAGGAUGAAGUCUGGGUAACACCAGAUGGAGGUCCGCACCAAUAAGCGUUGAAAAGCUUCUGGAUGAGCUGAGGGUAGGGGUGAAAGGCUAAUCAAACUUGGAGAUAGCUCGUACUCCCCGAAAUGCAUUUAGGUGCAGCCUCGCGGGUUACUGAUGUGAGGUAGAGCGACUGAUUGGAUGCGAGGGCUUCACCGCCUAUCAAGUCCUGACAAACUCCGAAUGCGCAUCAGUUUUACCGCGGGAGUGAGGGCAUGGGUGCUAAGGUCCGUGCCCGAGAGGAGAAGAAUCCGGACUAUCAGCUAAGGCCCCGAAAUGACAGCUAAGUUAAACUAACGAAGUCUGAUUGCUAAGACAGCUAGGAUGUUGGCUUGGAAGCAGCCAUUCAUUUAAAGAGUGCGUAACAGCUCACUAGUCGAGGAAUCGGGCGUGGAUAAUAAUCGGGUAUUAAGUUGUCUGCCGAAGCUAUAGAAUCAGCAAUGAUUGGUAGGGGAGCAUUCCAUUCCGCGUUGAAGGCGUGGCGUGAGCCAUUCUGGAGCGUAUGGAAAAGCAAAUGUAGGUAUAAGUAACGAUAAAGGGGGUGAGAAACCCCCUCGCCGAAAGACUAAGGUUUCCUGAUCAACGCUAAUCGGAUCAGGGUAAGUCGGGUCCUAAGGUUCAGCCGAACGGCGAGACCGAUGGCAGAAACGGUUAAUAUUCCGUUACUACCUUUGAGGGUGACGUGGGGACGCAGGAGUGACACCGCCGCCGGCUGACGGAAUAGCCGGUUAAAGAGUGUAGACGUUGAUUUCCGCAGGCAAAUCCACGGAAAGAGUCGAACUUGACAGUAUGGAACGUCCUUCGGGACAAUCCAAUAGUGCGGGUAAGCAGACUGCCUAGAAAAUCCGCUAAACAUAACUUCAGAGGUACCCGUACCGCAAACGGACACACGUAGUCGGGUUGAAUAUACUAAGGCGCUUGAGUGAAUCACGGUUAAGGAACUAGGCAAACUGACCCUGUAACUUCGGGAUAAAGGGUCCCUACCCAGAAAUGGGAGGGCGCAGAGAAUAGGUCCAGGCAACUGUUUAACAAAAACACAGGGCUGUGCCAAUAUGAAAGUAGACGUAUACAGCCUGACACCUGCCCGGUGCUGGAAGGUUAAGAGGAGAUGUCAUCGCAAGAGAAGCAUUGAAUUGAAGCCCCAGUAAACGGCGGCCGUAACUAUAACGGUCCUAAGGUAGCGAAAUUCCUUGUCGGGUAAGUUC
rnacentral:rRNA from 1 species